GUCCCUUAUCUGUCCCUUCUUAUCAUCGUCCUCGCCUGUGUUUCUUCUGCAGUCUUUUUCUAUUUUCUAUCUUUCUGUUUUUUCUGUUUCUAUUUUUCUAUCUUUCUAUUUUUUCUAUCUUUCCAUCUUUUCUAUCUUUCUAUCUGAUGGGUUUUCGACUUUCCAUUAUUCCCCUUUUCCUGACCUCUUCUUUAUCUCCUUUUAUUUAAUUCUCCAUUUUUUCUAUUUUCAGUUUUAUUCUAUUUCCUCCUCUUUUCGUUUCCUUUUUUCUUUUCUUCCGUUUCCACUUUUUACUUUUCGCUUCUAUUCCUCAUUUCAUUCUUUCUUCCCUUUUUCCUCUUUUUUUCGUUCCUUUUGCUCUGUUCUCUCCAUCUUCUCUCUUUCUCUUCUAUUCGUCUCAUUUCUUUCACCUUUUCUCCUUUUAUUCCACUCUUUAUCUUUCCUAUUCUUUGCCGUUUCCAUCUAUUUUUCUCAUUCUCCCUUACUCCCUUCUGCCCUUUCCUUUCCGCACCCCUCUCCCUCCCUCCCUCCCUUUCCACCCCUUUCACAAUUCACUCUCCCUCCCUCUCUUCCUCUCCCCCCCCUCUCUGUUUUCCUCUCUCCCUUCUCUCCUACUCACUCGUUUUGUUGUUUAAUAUCGAUCAAAUUUUACUUAUUUAAAGGGUGUGUGAUGGAGUGUGUGUGUGUGUGUGUGUGUGUGUGUGUGUGUGUGUGCGUGCGUGCGUGUGCGUGUGCGUGUGUACGUAGCCUCCAAAGGGAACGCACAUGGAAUUAACGGCCGUAUUUCUUGGACUCAUGAAACACACACACACACACACACACACACACACACACACACACACGUUAUUGCAUAUUUAGACAAUUUAUAGCCACGCCCUUAUCAACAAAAGCACAACGUUCAAUAGCGUAAAACAAACAAAUAGAGAGAGAGAGAGAGAGAGAGAGAGAGAGAGAGAGAGAGAGAGAGAGAGAGAGAGAGAGAGAGAGAGAGAGAGAGAAUGGAUAAAAAAAAGAGGAAUGUGAUGAUUUAGUAGUAGUGGGAAGAAAAACGGCAAACAAAAAAACGAAGAUAGAUAGAUAGAUACGAAGAACUGAGUGAGAAGAGAAAGAGAAUAAGAGAAAAGAGAAAAAUGGGAAAGAUGUAAAUAUAAGUACACAAAAAAACCCAGUAAAGAGAAAGAAACGAAAACCUGAGAGAAAAGAGAAAGAAGAGAAAAGAGAAAACUGAGAAGAGUGGAAAUAGAGGUAGACUAAAACAACGAUUAAGAGAAAGAAAAGAAUAGAAAAGAGAAAACAUAGAAGGAUGGAAAUAUAGGUAGACAUAAAAAAAACAGAGAAAAGAGAAAAAUAACGAAAAAAAUAACCAGAGAAACUAUAAAGGUACAGAGGAUAAAGGGAAUGUAACCUAACAAAAUAAAAAGAGGAAAAGAAAAAAAAGAUGGAAAAAAAUCUAUGGUUGCAAAACAUAAAGGGAAUAUGACAAAACGAAGGGAGGAACAGAAAAAAAGCAAGAAGGAAAAGGAAUAAUGCAGAAUGAAAAAAAUAUAGUUAUAAAAGAAAAUAUAUAGUUGAAAAAAGAUGAAAAAAUAUUGAAUUGAAAAAAAGAUGAAAAAGUAUUGAGUGAAAAAAAUAACAAAAAUAUGAGUUGAAAAAGGUAAAAAUAUAUAGUUAAAAAAAUGGAAAAAUAUAGUUGAAAAAGAUGUAAAAUAUUAAGUUGAAAACAAGGUGAAAAAUAUGUAGAGUUGAAAAAAAGAUGAAAAUAAAUAUUGCUUGAAAAAAAGUUUAAAAAAAUGUUGAGUUGAAAAAGAAUUGAAAAAAUAUAUUAAGUUGAAAAAAAAAGAUGAAAAAAUAUUGUGUAAAGAAACGAAUACGACUUAACGAAGAAAGGAAAAAAAAAAAAAUGGAAAGGAACCACAAAACGAAAAAAAUAUGGAAACAAAAAAAGGAAGAUUAUCAUAAAAAGGCAAAAAAAAAAAAAAGGUCAUAUUUAGGACGACUUAACAGAUUGACACCAAGGAAAAAAAAAAAAAAACAUAAAACAACACGACUUUUAAAGCUAAUGAGAGACAAAGUGACACAUAAGGAAGGGAGGGAAAGGGAAGGGAAGGGAGGAAAAAAAGGGUGAAAUUACAGGGUGACACAAAAAGGAUGAUGAUUUAGGAUUAGAGGGAGAAGGGAGAGAGGGAAAAGGGAGGUAAAGGGGGAGUGUGUAAGGGAGGUACGUAUGGUAUGAUCAAGGGUGGGAGGUAAGGUUAGAUUUAAGGGUGAAAGGUGAAUCAGGGUGCAAGGUGUAAGGUAAGGUUAGGGUGACUAGGGUGGGCAUGGAAGAAGGGUGACAAGGGGUAGGGAGGGUGGUAGGGUGAAGAAGCGAGGUAGGGCAGGGUGAGGCAUUAGGUAAGAAAGGGUGUAAGGGAGUGUAAGGUAAGGAUGUAAGGGAGAAAAGGGAGAAAUAACGAGAAUAGUAGGGAGAAAGCAUAACAAGGGAGGGUGAAGUAUUAGGUAAGGUAGGGUGGAAUAGGGUAUAAGGGAGAGUAAGGUAAGGAUAUUAAGGGUGGAAUAGGGUGUAAGGGAGAGUAAGGUAAGGAUAUUAAGGGUGGAAUAGGGUGUAAGAGAGAGUAAAGUAAGGAUAUUAAGGGAGGAAUAGGGUGUCAGGGAGAGUAAGGUAAGGAUAUUAAGGGUGGAAUAGGGUGUCAGGGAGAGUAAGGUAAGGAUAUUAAGGGUGGAAUAGGGUGUCAGGGAGAGUAAGGUAAGGAUAUUAAGGGUGGAAUAGGGUGUCAGGGAGAGUAAGGCAGGGUAAGGAUAAGGGAGAAAAGUGAUAUAUAGUGUAAGGGAGAGAACAUAACACAGGCCAGGGUAGGGUGAGGCAGGGUGGAAGGCAGGGCGGAGAAGGGUGUGGCAGGGAGGAAGGGAGGGAGGGUGUGAGGGAGGAAGGGUGUGACAUGAAAUUAAAUUGGUGACCAGUUUGAAAAAAAAGAAAAA